ACAGGAUUAGAUACCCUGGUAGUCCACGCCGUAAACGAUGUCGACUUGGAGGUUGUUCCCUUGAGGAGUGGCUUCCGGAGCUAACGCGUUAAGUCGACCGCCUGGGGAGUACGGCCGCAAGGUUAAAACUCAAAUGAAUUGACGGGGGCCCGCACAAGCGGUGGAGCAUGUGGUUUAAUUCGAUGCAACGCGAAGAACCUUACCUACUCUUGACAUCCACGGAAUUUGGCAGAGAUGCCUUAGUGCCUUCGGGAACCGUGAGACAGGUGCUGCAUGGCUGUCGUCAGCUCGUGUUGUGAAAUGUUGGGUUAAGUCCCGCAACGAGCGCAACCCUUAUCCUUUGUUGCCAGCGAUUCGGUCGGGAACUCAAAGGAGACUGCCGGUGAUAAACCGGAGGAAGGUGGGGAUGACGUCAAGUCAUCAUGGCCCUUACGAGUAGGGCUACACACGUGCUACAAUGGCGCAUACAAAGAGAAGCGACCUCGCGAGAGCAAGCGGACCUCAUAAAGUGCGUCGUAGUCCGGAUCGGAGUCUGCAACUCGACUCCGUGAAGUCGGAAUCGCUAGUAAUCGUGGAUCAGAAUGCCACGGUGAAUACGUUCCCGGGCCUUGUACACACCGCCCGUCACACCAUGGGAGUGGGUUGCAAAAGAAGUAGGUAGCUUAACCUUCGGGAGGGCGCUUACCACUUUGUGAUUCAUGACUGGGGUGAAGUCG
rnacentral:rRNA from 1 species